rnacentral:rRNA from 1 species
GACGAACGCUGGCGGCGUGCUUAACACAUGCAAGUCGAACGGAAAGGCCCUGCUUUUGUUGGGUGCUCGAUUGGCGAACGGGUGAGUAACACGUGUGUAACCUGCCCUUGUCUUUGGGAUAACUUCAGGAAACUGGGGCUCAUACCGCAUAUGAGCUCCUGCUGCAUGGUGGGGGAUGGAAAGUUUCGGCGUUUGGGGAUGGACUCGCGGCUUAUCAGCUUGUUGGUGGGGUAGUGGCUUACCAAGGCUUUGACGGGUAGCCGGCCUGAGAGGGUGACCGGCCACAUUGGGACUGAGAUACGGCCCAGACGCCUACGGGAGGCAGCAGUGGGGAAUAUUGCACAAUGGGCCGAAGCCUGAGGCAGCAACGCCGCGUGCGGGAUGACGGCCUUCGGGUUGUAAACCGCUGUCGCCUGUGACGAAGCGUGAGUGACGGUAAUGGGUAAAGAAGCACCGGCUAACUACGUG